CGCAGCCGCGGUAAUUCCAGCUCCAAUAGCGUAUAUUAAAGUUGUUGCAGUUAAAAAGCUCGUAGUUGAAUUUCGGGAUCGAUUUACUGGUCGUGCUAUUGUACGUACUGGUUUUAUUGGUUCCUCCCUUCUGACGAACCUUGAUGCCAUUAAUUUGGUGUCUUGGGAAAUCAGGACUGUUACUUUGAAAAAUUAGAGUGUUUAAAGCAAGCUCACGCUUGAAUACAUUAGCAUGGAAUAACGGAAUAGGACGUUUGAUUCUAUUUUGUUGGUUUCUAGGAUCGACGUAAUGAUUAAUAGGGAUAGUUGGGGGCAUUAGUAUUCAAUUGUCAGAGGUGAAAUUCUUGGAUUUAUUGAAGACUAACUACUGCGAAAGCAUUUGCCAAGGAUGUUUUCAUUAAUCAAGAACGAAAGUUAGGGGAUCGAAGACGAUCAGAUACCGUCGUAGUC
rnacentral:rRNA from 1 species